UUGUAUAUCUUAUUUUUGGGUUACAAACACAGCUAUGACCUGACACACCUUGCAGGAAAUGUACCGUAUAUAGGCAAGCACUUGGAUCAAAUCAGGCAUGCUAUAGUAAUGAUUAAGAUAUCUAUUAAACAGCUGAUGACUAACAAUGUCAACCCCCCAGGGCAAUGCCAGGAGACAGUAACCCCCAGGGCACAGGCCAGGUAGACAAUAACUUUCAACAAAGAAAAAGUGUAUAUCACCUUACACUAGACUCCUUCUCUUGGAUCAAUAUGGCCUUAUCCUUUUUCAUUUUGUGUAUGUAACAGGGCUAACAUUUUUAAAUUAAAUGUACUGGCAUGUUCAGAUAAAGCAACAACAUUUGAUAUGAAACAAAAAUCUUUCAUGUAAUUAUUUUGAAGAUUAUGCAGAAACAUCAUUAAAGCUGUGAAACAUUUACUUGCA